GCUGGGGCCGGGGUCAGGGUCAGCAGGGCGGUGGGUGUUGGCUGAGGAGGGGCCUGUGCCGGGAUCAGCCCGGCUCCCGCGGUGCAGACUUGCUGCUGAGGCAAUGUGCUGCUUCUGAGGACUCGUGCAAACGACACCAGCUCCCAAAGCAACGCCUCUGCCCCCAGCACCCAGCUCUCCCAUCUCGCUGAGCAAUGGAGGCAAGAAAAGCCACCGGGCAGGAUGAUGCUGAGCUGCCCAAAACCCUCGAGUCCCUGUCCGAACGCAUCAGGGCCCUGCUAACGGUGCUGGAAGCCCAGCAGCAACGGCUCCAGGAAAAGACCGCCAGCCUCGACCUGCUGAUGACGGAGCUCGCGGGCCUGCGGGCCUCUCUCAGGGCACCUGCUGGGAUGGAGAGCAGCUCCUUGGCUCUGCAGGAAGAGAAAAAUCGCCCCUGAAAUGCCGGCUGGGUUGGCCUGGCCGCCAGCCUGUUGCUGGAAGAACCCUUCACAUGCACACGGUUGCUCUCCAGGAAGUGCUUAGCCCUUUCUCUCCUUGAGCUCUGCUAAGCUGGCUUUGUAUUGUCCCCUGGCCGCCUGAUGCUCACGGCACGGAAAUAAAAUGGUUUAUGUAUCCCUU